CCUACAUAUAGUGUGUGUGUAUAGAUCUACACACACAUUUGCACACAGCCACAGCUGUAUCCGGCUCUCUCUGCGCACACCCCGCGAGGAUCGCGGCCGAAUGAAGCCCUGCGGGAGCCGGGCGGGCGAGGAGGGAGAGCCGGGCUAUGCAAAUCUGCAGUCUCGGAGCAGCAAAUCGCUGAAGCCGGGAUGCAAUGCAGAGGACGAGCCUAUGCUAAGGAGGGAGGCUGAGUUCAGCUCCGCCGCGAUCGCCCUGCUUUUUAAACAUUUUAUUACAAGAUUUCUCCCUCGCUCCUGCCUGGCAGAAGCCACAUCCGAAGGGGCCGGGUGUGAGGCGGUGCGCCGAGUGCACACUCACGCGCCGGGCUGCAAGGGGGCUGCAGGUGCGCGGAUGCGCCCGGGCGUCCACUCCAGCAUCAGUGAGCCGCGUCACCCUGACAAAGAGCGAUCACCGCCCCGCAUGUAACAGCCAGCCGCGAGCCCGAGCUGCACACGCCGGCUCUGCUACCCAUGUAACCAGGCUGCUCCCCCAACAACCGGAACAAAGCCACAGCAGAAAGCCCCCGCUCCGCAUCCGAUCCAAUGGGCUGCAAGGCUGCAGCCCUGCUCCAGCAGGCGCCUCGGGAAGCCCCGACACCCCCCCUCUCGUGCUUCAAACCAGCACGGUCCCGCUUCCCAGCCCCCCUUCCCCACGCCGCGGACACAAAUGGCACGUUUGCAAGUGAGACGAGGCAUCUCUUACAGUGGAACCCGUUUGCCCAUCCCUAGGCGCUGGGAUUCACCAAGAUUGCAAGAUCACAGGGUUUUCAGAAGCCACCUGCUCAAGAAGCCUAGCCCUUGUAGUACCAUACCUGGACACACCACGGUGUGUUAGCCACCGAGUUCUCAAUCCCUUCCUAUCAUGCUUUUAGGGGGGUGUGUUGGAAGGGGAGAAGCAGCAGGAUGGGGGUGAGAAAAAUGCCCUUCCCUGAAAUACAAUCCAAGUAUAAAGACCCUUAAUGAAAAACAAAAAACAUUCUGAAUUAGAUUGCCACAGGCCUUACCCAGCUCCUUAGUACCCUUUAUUCCCUUGCAAGGGGCUGAGGCUCUGGUGUCUGUGCAGGAGGCUACUAUUGGGAGGCAAAAAACAACCAGCCAACCCAGGCAGGCAGAAAAGACUUCCCCAGGAUGGUCUCAAGCUGGAGAAGGUUGGUUACAUUGCUCCACAAAAGGCUAUUUAACUCCUCGCCCAGAGCAAGGGGAAGCAAGUCAUAUUUUGUUCCCUGAUCUGCCCCUGCAGUAGUGUAGUUUAUACAUCAGUUCCUAAUAAUUACAGCAUUAGGAUGUAGCCCUACCUUUAACUGGGAGUUUUAGAGGCGUCCAACAAUAAAAGGCAAACGGUAAAAGCA
ensembl:lncRNA